rnacentral:rRNA from 1 species
GAUGAACGCUAGCGGCAGGCUUAACACAUGCAAGUCGAGGGGCAGCAUGAGGGUUAGCAAUAACCCUUGAUGGCGACCGGCGCAAGGGUGCGUAACGCGUGAGCAACUUGCCCGUUUCAGGGGGAUAACCGGUGGAAACGCCGACUAAUACCCCAUAGUAUUGAGUUUAGGCAUCUUUACUCAAUUAAAGAAUUUCGGAAACGGAUAGGCUCGCGUGACAUUAGCUAGAUGGCGGGGUAACGGCCCACCAUGGCGACGAUGUCUAGGGGUUCUGAGAGGAAGGUCCCCCACACUGGAACUGAGACACGGUCCAGACUCCUACGGGAGGCAGCAGUGAGGAAUAUUGGUCAAUGGGCGCAAGCCUGAACCAGCCAAGUAGCGUGAAGGAUGACUGCCCUAUGGGUUGUAAACUUCUUUUAUACGGGAACAAAUGUUGGUACGCGUACCGAUUUGCGUGUACCGUAUGAAUAAGCAUCGGCUAACUCCGUG